CUCGAUGCAUUGGACCCCGAUCUCAUUUUAUGUUCUUAUUAUUGCUUUAUCCCUACACCAAGGCUGCGGAACUUCACUAUCACGAAUGACUCGCUUUUGCUUAUGCCGAUUUCGAGAAAGAUUUAUUAUUUUACAUUCAGGUGCUUUUUUGUGCUUCGUGUCACGCCAUACUUAAUUAAUACUACUAUUAAGCGCUGAAUAAGAAACUUUAUUUCAGAUUGGUCUGCUCUUGAGAUCUUAUAAUGUUCACUUUUUUACAAUCCUGUAAUACAUAUUUUUAACAUUAUAUUUCUCUAUGACUUGCCUGUAUGUGUAAGUUUAAAUAUGGUUAAGGUACAUAAGUGAUUGCCAGUUAAUUAUAAUUACGAUUAAGCAAUCUGUCAUACCUACAUUGCAUUUAACAUGAAACAAAGGAUAAUUUUUUCAAUACCAGAGAUUUUACAUCAUGAAAAACAUAGAAGAAAGAGAGAGAUUGCAGAAAUGUUCCUUAUCAAAAAAUAUAAUAGAUCUAUUAAGCUUCAAACUGACACUGACAACUUACCAGAUAUUUACAACAUUGUUAGAAUCACAUAAACAGACUGGCAUUUUAUUGUCUGUUUUCAUGAUUCACUGACUUGCUUUUCGGAAGAUCUUUUCUUCCUGAACCUACUUUUAUUAACAUCAUAAUAUGAUUGAUAUAUUUGUAACAUUUUAUAGAUAAUGACUUUAUGUUACCACUAUUGUCAUAUCUAUCGAAAGUGUUAAUUAUUGCCACCUGAGGAGGACCAAAACCAAUGGUCGAAACGUCGUGUACAUUGUUUUGAAUUAAAUACAUUGCCAUUCAGGUCGAA